GCCUACUGUCCAGCUCCAGCUCCAGAACCCUAGAGCCCUCCAGAGCCCAUCAACUCAUCUAUCAGUGAUGCUUAGGGCUCUGCUGUGAGUCAGAAGCAUAUGGAAGGCACUCUGGGGCAACCCUGCUGAUGAGCAGAGCAGGCGUCUUUUGGUCCAGUGCUCUGUCACAAGAACUCGUGCCAGAGCUCUGAACCAAAAAAUGGGACAUUCUGGGAUACAAACAGAAGCCAGGAUGUCCUACAGUUGGGAGGUAUGAAUAACUAUGGGGGUAGGACAGAUUCCUUGUGUCUCUCUCACAGAAUCAGCACACCACUGGGAAACAGGGUGCUAAUUCUGUGGAAAGGCCUCCUGCAAUCGGCCCUGCUCUUGUAGUUUUCAUAAUCAGACACAGCCCCAGCCAUGUGGGGUUGCAAUAGAAUCACAGAAUUGUAAAGUUGGAAGGAACCCCCUUCCAACUCCCUGCAAUGCAGGAAUCUCAGCUAAAGCAUCCAUGACAGAUGGCCAUCCAAACUCUGCUUUAAAAUCUCCAAUGAAGGAGAGUCCACAACCUCCCAAGGGGGACUGUUCCAUUGUCAAACAUCUCUUACCACUAGAAAGUUCUUCCUGAUGUUUAGUUGGAAUCUCCUUUCUUGUAACCAUUGGUUCGAGUUCUACCCUCCAGAGCAGGAGAAAACAAGCUUCUUCCCUCUUCCAUGUGACAGUCCUUGAGAUAUUUGAAGAUGGCUAUCGUAUCUCCUAUCAGUCUCCUCUUUUCCAGGCUAAACACACCUAGCUUCAUUCACCAUUCCUCAUAAAGCUUGGUUUCUAGACUCUUGAUCAUCUCAAUUUCCCUCCUCUGAAAUGUUCCAACUUGUCAACAUCCCCAUAAAGAGAGAAGUGACUCCUAGGCACUAGUAGAAAAACUUCCAGCUCUAUCAACUUAAAGAACAUUUAGCUGCUUAGCCAAGACUCAACUAAUUUUCCUAUUAUUAUUAUUAUCAGGAAGAAAUCUAUCACUCCGUUAUUUGAAUUUUUUAUGAAGUGAUUUACAACAGAGUGUUCUGUGAAACUUUGAAUGUAUAUGUCUGUGAGAGCAUUAUGUCAUUUAGAAUCUCAGGAUGUUCAUUCAAAUUAGACCCCUUACUCUACAAUCCCUGGAUGGUUAGCUAGCAAUGCCAGUCUGUAAGUUGAGUCUUUGGACAAGAGGAAGACAUACAGCCAGCGGAAAAAUACAGAGGUGGCUUUUAUCAUUUCUGAACAACUAAAAAUAAUGGGCUUUUACACAAACAGAUGGGCAGCUGCAAGGAAAAUUUGUCCAUCAGAGAAUUCUAUUCUUGGAAAGAUAUUGCCCCUUUUUGAUUUCUUGCAGUAUAAACCAUAUUGAUUUUUUUGCUGUCUUAAUGCUCAAAGUAUUGCACAAUAUCUAGGAUACAGUAUGUUGACCUAAAUGGCUUUUUUUCUUUUUACAUUGCCACAAACUAAGGUGGAAAGAAAAGAUGGGAAAAGCUCAUCAGUUUUUCAUGUAUUUGCAAGUUUAAAGUUUUAUAGCAAAUGUGCAAGAUUGUGCAGAGAGAAAUUGUAAAUGGAUAAUGAAGAAACCUCUUACUGGAGCCCAAAAUAUCCUUCAGGCUGACAUGUUACUUUGCUCGUGAAAAUAUAGGUAGGUUCCUUGUGGAUCCCAGCAGCUGCCAAAAGUGGCCAGUGAAAUACCUGAAAGUCCUAACAGAUAUAUGAUGAUAAAAUGUGCUUUCCUGCACUUUGCUGUCAUAGAACCUCUGCUUGAUUGAAGAAUGUGCAGCAGAGUCAAUACAAAGGAAAAGUGACUUGCCAGCAUGCCUCAUGCUUGCUUCAGUUACGCUGUCUUUUAUCAGAGCUUCUGAGUGGAACUGAUUCCAAUGGGACUUGAAUUCAGCAGGGAGUGGUUUUGCUAGGGAACUCUCAUUGGGGCCUCCUGAAUGGAACCAAUCCCAGCUUGCAAGGAACUGGAGGUUCUCUAUACCUGCUCUAAGACAAUCAACGUACCAGCAAGGUGUUCCUCUUUUCCCGUCUUGGGCUUCAGCUCCCUCUUUGCAUCAUUUAUUCUGUUAUCACUAGGUUGGACACAGGUUUCCUUUUGGGUGAAGACAGAGGCAAAGUAGGUGUUAAGCAGUUCUGCCUUUUGUCAGCAAUAGCAGUUCUUCAUCUUCUCCAUGCAGAGGACCUACUAUUUGCUUGUUCUUCCUCUUACUUCAAACAUAGCUGAAGAAAGCUUUAUUAUUUUUAACCUCUCUCCCAUAGGACCAACAAGAAAGAAACACUAGUCCCAAAUCUUAGCUUAAAAUUAUGGAACUGUAAAUUUGAUGUCUGUAGUUGUGAUCAGAUUGUUUUUGAGCAAAUUCUCCUUGCCCUUCAAUUUAAUUUAAAAUGUCAAUCUCCGCAGGUGCUAAAAUUAACAUUUGAUUAUGGCAUGCCAUCUUUAAUAUUUCAAUAAUUAAUGUAAGUUGUAACAGGAAUAAAAAAAUAUAGGAAUGUACUAAUUGUUUAAAGGCAAUCAAUUAACUGGCUCCUCUUUCCUGCAAUUACAGUUAAGAUGGCUGAAGGAUAUUCUUAUAGUUCAACAAGAUGAGGAAGCUUUGAAAUAUGAGAGCACAGGAUGAAACUUAAACUACUUGUUGACAUAUGACCAAAGGGUUUCUUCAAAAUACUGAC